AACGGGUGGAGCCUGUCGGUUUUAAUUGGAUUCAACGCCGGAAAUCUCACCGGGGCGACAGCAAUAUGAAGGUCAGGCUGAAGACCUUACCCGAUUAGCUGAGAGGUGGUGCAUGGCCGUCGUCAGUUCGUACUGUGAAGCGUCCUGUUAAGUCAGGCAACGAGCGAGACCCACGUCCACAGUUGCCAGCAUACCCUCCGGGGUGAUGGGUACACUGUGGAGACCGCCGCUGCUAAAGCGGAGGAAGGAGUGGGCAACGGUAGGUCAGUAUGCCCCGAAUCUCCCGGGCUACACGCGGGCUACAAUGGUUGGUACAAUGGGCAUCUACCCCGAAAGGGGAAGGAAAUCUCUUAAAGCCAAUCGUAGUUCGGAUUGAGGGCUGCAACUCGCCCUCAUGAAGCUGGAAUCCGUAGUAAUCGCGUUUCAACAGAACGCGGUGAAUACGUCCCUGCUCCUU
rnacentral:rRNA from 1 species